GUCUCUCUUGAGGAUCUCAUUAAGAGAUCCCUCACUUUUCAAAAAAAGACAAAAAAAAUAAAAAAAAUAAUAAAUAUGUGGACAGCCCACGUGACCCUCUAUCUUCUCUCUGAAUCCUCUAAAAAAAAGACCUUUCCUCUUCUUCACUCACAAAAAAACCCUAGCGGCUCACUCUCUCCAACGGCUUCAUUCGUAAAAACCUAGUCGCCUUCCCUCUUCUUCCCCACAAAAAACCCUAGCCGCCACCUUCAUUUUCAUCAUCUCCUUCACCGAAAUCCUUCUUCCACACACUCACUCUCCGCCGCCACCCUUCAUUUUCUUCAACUUCUUCACUUCAAAAAAACCUAUCGCCGCUCCACACCAUCUCGGAAAACCCUUCCGCUCAAAAUUCAUUUCAUUCCCUCAACACAAAAACCCUUUCCGUAAAAACUUCAAAAUCCCAAUCGCUUCCGUCAUCUCCUUUCGCACCACCCCUCUCCACCGAUCUUCUCCACCGUACACCGAACCUACUGCCGCCACACGCCAUUUACCCACCACCAUAAACCCUCCUUCAUUCCGAAACCCUCACUCUCUCAAACUUGAAUUUUGAAUCGCGAUCCAUCUCGUGCAUCUAAUUCCAGUUUUGGAUCCUCAACCGUCAGUCACGCGCACGACGACGAUCUGUUCGUGAUAAGAAGGGACAGUCUAGUAUACGAUGGUGAUUUUGCAUCUAAGUCGGAGAUUUCUUCUCCGCGCCGGUUUAUGACAAACCAGUAUACGAUGGCGAUGCUUUUGAUGGGGUGCCUGGGUUGAAGAGCAUGACGAAGUUUAGUUUUCAUAUUUGUCUUCGUGUCCGAAAAUGAAAAGGAGUUUGGUUCUGGCAGGAAGGGAUUGUAGAAAAGGAUAAAGUUGUUUCUGUCUUUAACUAUUUACUACCUGGAUUCGAAAGAAAACAACGGAUCCUGUGCCUGAUUUUGGUGCUGGCCUCGUCGUGGUCUUUGGCAUUUGCCUUAGCUUAAAGUUUGUAUUUCUAUUUGUUUCCGCAUCAGGUGUUGGUUUUGUUAACUGGGAGUUACUCUUUGAGACUUUAUCUUGUUUAUAGUUACACGUAUGUUUUGGGAAUGUUGCUUGCUAUGCAGAUCAGUUAUGCAGGUUUGUUGCAGUUUAGGAUUGGUAUCGGCGCCGGCAUGCACAUUGGAGCGUUUGGAUCGUGGCUUUGCUUUUGAAAUUGGCAGAAUUGUUAUUCAUGAAAGUGAUACUGUUGAAAGUGCUCACAAGGAAAUUGCUUGGCGUUUGCUUAAGGGUGCUGCUAAUUGGCAAAGGAGCCUUUUGAAUCUGCCCUAUUUUGAUAUUAAAUUUUAUUAAGUCUGUUUUGUGUCUUGGUUUGGGUGUCAAGUUUUUAUGUUGUUUCUGUUUGAUUAUUCAAAUUGAAAUCUAGUUUUGCUUGAAACCUUUUCAUUA